rnacentral:piRNA from 1 species
UCAUGCAGUAGUUCUGCAUCAUAGCAGCAGU